rnacentral:rRNA from 1 species
GACGAACGCUGGCGGCGUGCCUAAUACAUGCAAGUUGAGCGAUGAAGAUUGGUGCUUGCACCAAUUUGAAGAGCAGCGAACGGGUGAGUAACGCGUGGGGAAUCUGCCUUUGAGCGGGGGGCAACAUUUGGAAACGAAUGCUAAUACCGCAUAACAACUUUAAACAUAAGUUUUAAGUUUGAAAGAUGCAAUUGCAUCACUCAAAGAUGAUCCCGCGUUGUAUUAGCUAGUUGGUGAGGUAAAGGCUCACCAAGGCGAUGAUACAUAGCCGACCUGAGAGGGUGAUCGGCCACAUUGGGACUGAGACACGGCCCAAACUCCUACGGGAGGCAGCAGUAGGGAAUCUUCGGCAAUGGACGAAAGUCUGACCGAGCAACGCCGCGUGAGGGAAGAAGGUUUUCGGAUCGUAAAACUCUGUUGGUAGAGAAGAACGUUGGUGAGAGUGGAAAGCUCAUCAAGUGACGGUAACUACCCAGAAAGGGACGGCUAACUACGUG